CACUUAUAUUUGCACCCCUCCCAUAUGAAGUUUAGAGUUUCCUCGAGUUUCAGAAGCAAAUCAAGGGCUCUUCGGAUGAUGGUGACCGGGAGAAGCGAAUGGAGCUGGAGAUCGAAGAGACCUGAGCGGCAAACUGCACCUGGAAAUAAUAAGCAAUUAAAAUAAUUCAAAUUAAAAAAUAAAUUAAAAUCAAUUACAUCACUGUUAUGAGAAAUACAGUGUAGCCUAUUACAGCAUGUGUAAUAUAUUAUAAAAGAGAUAAUGAUGAUGAUACCUAUCACUGGAACACAUUCAAGUGCUGUUCAUAUAGGUUGUACAUCUGCAGACGCUUGUUUCCAGGCGUUGUAAACUUUUGAGGCCUCAAGGCACUGGCUUAUUUUGCCUGGUUAUAGUCAUAUAGAUCAACAGUACAAUAAUUAUCAGAUCAACAUGUGCCUCUAUAGAAAAUACUAAAACGGAAAAUAAUUGCUGGCUUAAAUUUUAGGCAAAAUCAAUUUGAUUCUGAACUAUAAAUUGCAUCCAAUGACUUUUAAAAACUCUGAGAUUAUUGUGACAGUCUUUCUACACUGCUUUCCCCUCUGCCAGCAAAUGUUUGGUGUUCAAAGUAGGCCUGAUUUGCUUCAAAAAUAAACAUAAACUGAGUUAUGAAUUAUUUAUUGUAUUAUUGGAUUAUCUUGUCACUGUAUAGAAUUACAACACACACAAUGUCUACAUGAAGUUACCAAAUGAAAAUAAUAAGGAAAUGAAUUAUGUAAAAUUCUACACAACUGAUUGUUUUUAGACUAAAACAAUGCUGGAAAAAUUUUAAUCUUGCUCAGAAUGGUUUGGUCUGUUUUCUGAUUUUAGACGGGUUUGGAAUUUUUUGAAUAGUUUAACUGGCUUUUUUUUUUUCUGCAGAGAGGUACUAUAUUGCUAUACUAUUUAGUACUAUUUAAUCACUGUAAGGACCAGCUUUGAGUAGCUUAUUGUAAGAUGUCACAAUCGUUUUAUUUUUAUAAUGCUCUCCACAAUAUUUUCACAUUGAAGACUUUGUUUUAAAGCAGUUUUACAAAUAAAUAGUAUCUUAAAAUAUUUAACGUAUUAAAAAAAGAAAGAAAAGUAAAUCACUGGUGUUUUACAGUUUUAUAAAAUAAUUUAAUCCAUAGAGGCAAACACAUCCAAUGACUUCAUUUCGUUGGGAUAUCAGUGGCUAGAUAUUUGACCAGAACUCAGCUGCAUAUCCUGGGUCAAGAGAGGAGCAUCCUGACCCGAGGAAGAGCCUGACCUGUCUUAAUUUAAUCUGUCCGCCUGCUGUUCUUUGAAGACAUGUUGUGGCCCGGGGGCAGAGCUGAGCUGAGCUGACCAUCUCACUUCUUUGACCUGAUCAUACCUCCACAACUUCAGAGAAGGGGCCAAGUCAAGCUAACAAAACAAGAAAUGUUUUCACUUGAAAAAAGAAAAGUUUGUUGUUGACUAAAAAACAUAAAUGAUUAUUUAUUUAUUAUUUUACAAACAGUGAUAAUUUUAUUUAACAUGGAAAAGACUGAAAAGUGACCAUUUACAUUUUUAGAGUUCAUGUUGUUGUGUACUUUACUAAAUAUAAUAUUAUACAAUUAUGAAACACUGCAUGAAAGGAAACAGUAAUAUCAUCCCUUGAUUUUACUGGCAAAUAUUACAUAUAAUAAAUUGUAUAAAUUUAUUGAGGCAUGUGAUGAUAUACUUUCUUGUUGAAAUUGGACUUUUUAAAAUUUUAAAUAUAUAAUUCACUAGUUUUUGUUGUUGGUUUAGAUCUUACCCCAGAAUAUGCUGUAAAUAAUGGUUGCACAACGUUGAAGCAGUAGCCACAUAAACAUCACACUACUAUUUGUAUUUUGCAUAGAAACAUGUAUUUAGUGCCUCCUUUGUGCAACUGCAGUUUAAUGUGUGUAAUUAUAAACACACAAUACGGUUUAAGUUUUCUUGUUUGUUCAGUUAGUUAUCACCUUUAGAUCUGAUACUCAUUUUUAUCACCAG
ensembl:lncRNA